AAUUAGCCCUGAUAGCAGCGGUUCCCCCACCGCUGGCAGCAGGAAAAGAAAGGAGAGAGGAGUAUGAGCGGAUAGCAGGAAGCAGC
rnacentral:misc_RNA from 1 species